AGAGUUUGAUCAUGGCUCAGAACGAACGCUGGCGGCAUGCCUAACACAUGCAAGUCGAACGAAGGCUUCGGCCUUAGUGGCGCACGGGUGCGUAACGCGUGGGAAUCUGCCCCUCGGUUCGGAAUAACAGUUAGAAAUGACUGCUAAUACCGGAUAAUGACUUCGGUCCAAAGAUUUAUCGCCGAGGGAUGAGCCCGCGUAAGAUUAGCUUGUUGGUGGGGUAAUGGCCUACCAAGGCGACGAUCUUUAGCUGGUCUGAGAGGAUGAUCAGCCACACUGGGACUGAGACACGGCCCAGACUCCUACGGGAGGCAGCAGUGGGGAAUAUUGGACAAUGGGCGAAAGCCUGAUCCAGCAAUGCCGCGUGAGUGAUGAAGGCCUUAGGGUUGUAAAGCUCUUUUACCAGGGAUGAUAAUGACAGUACCUGGAGAAUAAGCUCCGGCUAACUCCGUGCCAGCAGCCGCGGUAAUACGGAGGGAGCUAGCGUUGUUCGGAAUUACUGGGCGUAAAGCGCACGUAGGCGGCUAUUCAAGUCAGGCGUGAAAGCCCCGGGCUCAACCUGGGAACGGCGCUUGGGACUGGUUGGCUUGAGUUCGGGAGAGGAGCGUGGAAUUCCCAGUGUAGAGGUGAAAUUCGUAGAUAUUGGGAAGAACACCGGUGGCGAAGGCGGCGCUCUGGACCGAGACUGACGCUGAGGCGCGAAAGCGUGGGGAGCAAACAGGAUUAGAUACCCUAGUAGUCC
rnacentral:rRNA from 1 species